ACAGGGGGAGUAACCCGGAGAAAUCCGGACUAAUACCCCAUAAUAUGGGCGCUCCGCAUGGAGAGUCCAUUAAAGAGAGCAAUCUUGGUUACAGACGAGCAUGCGCUCCAUUAGCCAGUUGGCGGGGUAACGGCCCACCAAGGCGACGAUGGAUAGGGGUUCUGAGAGGAAGGUCCCCCACAUUGGAACUGAGACACGGUCCAA
rnacentral:rRNA from 1 species